rnacentral:rRNA from 1 species
CGGAACACGUACAGAACCUUCCUUUAAGCGGGGGAGUAGCCCAUAGAAAUGUGGAUUAAUACCCCAUAGUAAUGCUGGUUGGCAUCAACUGGUAUUUAAAGAUUUAUCACUUAAAGAUGGCUGUGCGGCUGAUUAGGUAGUUGGUGUGGGUAACGGCCCACCAAGCCAGCGAUCAGUAACUGGUGUGAGAGCACGACCAGUCACACGGGCACUGAGACACGGGCCCG